AGCAGCUGGACGACCCCUGAGACCUCUCUUAAAGCUGCUAAUGGCCGACAAGGAUCAGGCCUAAUAAGGUGCUGUGUGUUCAUCCUCGUGUAGGUUAAGUGUGUGAGUGUGUGCGCAUGCUUUCAUGUGUGUGACACCCUUUACAUCUGGGUUGCCCUCUCUGGCCUCACUGGCUGUUUUGGGCCCCAGGCUGUGCGACCAGAGAGCCGGUGACAGUGUGUGUGCUCGGCAGGGGACAGUAUUUAGGCACUAGGAGCUGUAGCCGGGGGAUCUUUGGCUGCAUAAUGAGCUGUUGUGUGUUGUGGAGCCAUGAAGCAGCGCACUGUGGGGACAGAGGAGUAUUGUGUGCUGUGAAACCACAGCUUGGCUCAGCAGAGGAGGCCUGACUGAACCACGCUGGGAAGCACCACAGGGCAAAACAUCUUCUGGAUGCCUGCCUGGUUCUUGUGUCUGUCUGACCUUUUUUUUCCUUUUAUUUUUGUCAUGCUAUCCUGUUACAGCCAGUUGAUGGUACAACCACUUUCAUGUUUUAACAGAUCCACUCUUAACCUUUGCUAAUUUAGGUAAAACAUUAAUGUCCAGCUCAUCCACGUUGACUUUAGUCUCAGAUCGUUUUUACACGUCUGUUAGUUUCUUCUCCUUUUGUAAUGUAAUUCUUUGAUUCAUUCACGAUUUGAGUUCACCUGUUUAAAGAUCACAAAAUGUCCUAACUCCAUAGUGAUUGAUUGCAACAUCUAACAUGAACUGAAGACCAUGAUCUCAUUUGACCUGUAAUAGGCCUCUUAGAAUUAGCUUGAAGCUUAAAUCGUCAUAUCUGUUCCUUAGAAGCUCAUUAAAAACCACAAUAUGUUUUUUCCUGUAAUUAGACACCCAGUCAAACCAUGUUAAUACUGGAUUCAUGGGAUUUUUUUGUGUGUUAGAUUUGUCCCACAUUUUCUCAGAGCCAGACCAUCUGUUUUCCUCCGCUCCGGUUUGUACAUGAGGCCACACUGAAUGUAGCUUUGACACGAGGGUGGGGUCCAUCGUUUUAUCCUUCUUGUAGCGUGAAACAUUCAAGUUUAGCUAAUUGUUAAACUGGAAGUGAGAACUGCUUUAUCCACUGUGUUUCAGCCCUCACUGCUUUGAGAAAGUCAUAAUAUUUAGGUUCAGCUUUAUCAACCGAUUGAGCGGACAACCGACAAAAACACAGUGGUGGAAACAGCUUAACAACCAAAAGAGUUUCAUCUGCAUCACUUUACAGGAACAUCUCAGUUUACGUUUGCAAAAGAAGAGGAGGCGGAGAUGGAAACUUACAGAUAAUCCUUUAAUUCAGCAAAUAAGAACGACCUCAUUAAAACUUUUAACUCAUUAAAGUUCAACUAUUUAUAGACAAAAUAUGUUUACAUACUUAUAUCAUGCGCUCAUACCAAAAAGUCUUUAUACUAACAGAUAGAUAGAUAGAUAGAUAGAUAGAUAGAUAGAUAGAUAGAUAGAUAGAUAGAUUCAAAUCUAACUUUAUACAUUUAAACAGUAGAAAAACAGUAGAAUCUUUCUUGUUGCUUAACUUCUUGAGAUUUUUACGUGACCUGUAUGAGCGGCCCACCGAGUCAAACGCAUUAUGCAGAGUUUGAUUCUGAUUAUUUACGCCCUCCACAUGUUUGUCUGUCUAUCUACUCACAAGCCUGUCUGUCUGCUCUCAGUGUGUGUGUGUGUGUGUGUGUGUGUGUGUGUGUGUGUGUUUGUGUUUGUGUGUGAGCCUGAACACUUGUUUGAGCCGUCUGCUUGUCUGUAUGUACGAUACACAGGUGUUUUUUUUUAUUAUUUAUUCUUUUUUUGUCACAGUGGGGUUUAAAAACUAUGUGACAAACACAAUUAUAUACAACAUUAAAACAUAAAAAACCUUAGGGUGUUUUUGUGGUCUUCAAGAAGAAGAAAGGGAAAAAAAAGACAUAAUGAAAAAAACAUCAUACAUCAAAUGUUUCUCUCUUUCCUCUAAAAUUUCCCAUCCAUCUCUGCCUGUCCUGCUGCCUCUAUCUCUCCCUCUGCUCCGACGACAACAGGCUCUUUCAUGUAGACAUCUUUUCCUCAGCAGCCUCAGGCUCUCUCCUUUCGUUCACACAGACUAAUUAAAUGUUCAGGGGGAAAACUCAUGAUUGGGACGAUUGCUCUACUUUCUCCCUGCCCCUGGUCUGCUCUUUUAUAAACCUGUUUCAGUUGAGUUAUUUAUCCCCCUUGCAAAAGUUUAAUGAUGUUUUUCAAAUCAAGACACAAAUGUCCUUGUUUGGAUCUAAAGAGUUUAUUUGUGGUCCGUCACAUGUAAUAACAGCAGGACAGAUUAUGUGUCAUAUCGUCAAAACAGGAAAUACAGUUCAGUUGUUUCUUCUCGUUUUUUUAAGGAAAGAAAGUGCACUCUAUGAAGGGAUGAAGAAAGGAGAAUGAAAAGAGAAAAAGAAAGUGACAAUCAGAAAAAGGAAAUAUACAUGUCAAACCCACAUAAUAUCUAUCCUAAAGUCCUUCACAAGCAAAAACAGUUUUCAAAUGUCUCAAUUCCAGUUUCAGGAUCUCAGUUUAAUGACUGGGUCAGUUUUUUCCUCAUUAUUUGUAAAAAUGAACUCUUUUUCAAAGCACACAGAUACAUCACUGAGAUUUUUUUGUCCACUCAUUCCUGACUGAAAAUGUACUUAUUUAUGCCGGCAUAUAAUACCCAGUAGCAUGGUGAAACUUUAUUUUUUUGCAUUGUAUUUUAUUCUUUUUUAAAAAUAAAUAUAUAUAUUUAAAAAAAAUUAAUGUCUUUUAUUGUUUUUUUUUUUAUUGCUCUUUAUUGUGUUUAUUUAAUUCAUUUUUAUUUUCUAUAUAUUGUAAAGCACUUUGGUUCACUAAAAUGGUUGUUUUAAAGGGCUGUAUAAAUAAAGAACAUUUACAUUUACAUUCAAAGAUUAAAAAAAAUCAGUGAGUUAAAAAUUAUAUUUAGAUGAUUGGACAUUAAAAUUAAUGUUGUUUUCUGUUACAGGUUAUCAAAUAAAGAUGUCAACAGAUUUUGACAUGCAGAAUAAUAUACUCUCACUGAAUUAAUAUAUAAGACAUUAAAUAUCAACGUCUCACUGUGAAAUUAAGUGUGACUGCUAUAGGCAACUUGUUUGACUCAUAUUUCAAUGUUUAAGACGUUUUUGGCAGCUGAUUUUUAUCUCUUCAGAGGAGAGUCUUAAGUGUUACUAACAGUCGUCAUAUAUUCAUGACUAACCAACGUGUUGGCAUGUAUGACUGAGGGGCAAAAAACGUCAGAGUCACUACAUGAAUGCCACUAUUGUGCGUGUCACCAUCAUCCCCAUCUUCAUCACCAUCACACUCUCGCCCUCCACAUCCUCCUGCAUCUGACUCACAAAUAUGAGGCCUGCAUGUUUUUCACAGGGUUUCUCUCUCACACACACACACACACGUCUUGCUUUAUGUUCUUCUCUCCAUGUGAUUUUCAUCUCUCCUCUUCAUCAGAACUACACGUCCUUUUCUUAAAUGUCUGUCUUUAUCUGCUCGCUCUCUUCCUCCAUUCGGGGUUGAAGCUGUGGCGAGUAGAUGCGGACACAGCAAACCUCCCAACAAUAGACCAUUCAUGAUGCCCCUGCAAUGCAAUGAUGAUCCUGCUCUGCCCUCCAUCCCCCUCCCCUCCAUCCCCCCUCCCCAGUCUGCACCAGCCUCCACAGCUGCACAGGAAUGUGGUCCAACAAGUUACCCCCCCCCCCCCCCCACCAACCCUCCUCCUCCCUCUCCUCCUCUCUUCCCUGCUGCCUCCACCACCAUCGCUACCACUGCCACCACCUCACCAGUGCUGCCGCCGUCGCAACCCAAGCCUCCCUCUCCCCCCAAAUAAAGGCAAGAAACUAUAGAAGGGGGGGAAACUCUGCAGACAGAGCACAAAGAGAGGAUUCAUGGCCGCUUACACACACUCCCCGAGAAAAAAGAUGGGGACCCAUUUAAGGGUGGUGCAGCUGCACUAAUUUACUGGGUGAAAAUGGGAGAAAGAGGGAGUGGCAGAGGUCAGAUAGCAGAAUCAUUUUUUAUUCAUCCCCAUGCAUGGCCAUGUCACUGCAUCAUCAACACUGACAGAGUGUGUGUGAUGGAUAAAUGCAGUGACGAACACAGAAAGCACCUGCAGCCUUUGGUCAGAAUCAUUCAGCACAGAGUCAAAGCUCAAGGCCACUUCCUCUGCUCACAACAACAAAACAACAACUCUGCUUUUAGUUCAUUUUGUUCUCGUAAAGAUAUUAAAACUAGAGCCGGUUAGCCUCCAGACAGAGGAAUGUUGCCUUGGUAAAAGUGAUGGAAUAAUGUUACAUUUACUAACCCUAAUUCUGGGUUUCAACACGUUAACUUACAUGUACUUUGCAUUAAUGUUUUUCAUUUUAUUCUCGUGUUUAAUGCCUCAUGUUGUCUAGUGUGUUGCUUUUGCUUAGCUGCCAAUCCAAUUUCCCUUAAAAGGAAUGAAUUUAAUGAUUUAGUCUACAUUUUACAACCUUUCUUUGUGGUGUAGUCAAACUGUUUGAGGGCAAUAAAUAAGGAUAAGAAUAAAUGUAAAAAUAGAAAGAGGACUUGUAGCUUGCUAUGGAGCACCAGACUGCUAAAUGUUAUCUAUUAUUUUCUUCCUCUGGCAAUGUUUUGGAGAGCAUUUUCUUAGAUUUUUACUUUUCUGUCUCUUUCUCAAGUAUUCUGUGAAGCGGGAAGCACAGGCAACGUCUUAACCUGUCAGACGUAAGAAUGGGCGGGUAAAAAGUAAAGGUCGGCAACCAGAACCUUUAGGUAGACUGGAGGUUCAUUAUUGAAAUCCUUUUUCUUUGAGUAGGUUAUAUUUAAACAUAUUAAAGCAUGGGUGAUAUGAGGGGGUCUGGGGGUUUUCCUCUAAUAAACUUUGAGCAUCUUGUUCUUAAAUCCCCUCUUGUCAACAUUAGAGAAACACUGAUCCAUUUUUUUCUGAUCCAAUCCGAUACCGAUACCUGGGCUGAGCGUAUCGGCCGAUAUCCGAUACUGAUCCAUGAAUGAAUGAACUGUAUACUUUGCCCUGUGAGUGAAGGCAUCAGGCUUGACAUUAGCCUUGUUAAAAACAAAAGGUAACAAAUUAAGACAGAUAUAAAUUUACUUGAUAUUAUUUUUUAACAAAUAACAAAUCGCAAAUUAGCACACAGCAAAAAGAAGUAAGAUAUCCAUAUAUUAAAAGAAAAAUUAAUUAAAAGAAAAAAAAGACUGGAUUGGCAUCAUUCAUCUGAUAUCCGAUCCAGUUGAUUUGUAAAAUCCAAAUAUCGGAUCUGUGUAUCCCUUGUCAAUAUUUGGGGUGGAAAAUUAACGAUGCACAACCUCAGUUUUAAUAAAAGAUAGGACACCUCGUGAAAUGUUGACAGAAUCAGAUCUGAAAAUUAGUUCAACCCUAAAAGUAAGUAAGAUUUAGUGAUGUGUUGUCCAUUCUUCUCUGAUGUAGGACAGCUACUUGAUACUUUAGGGCCUCUGUUGUUGCAUUUACAUGCUGUUCAAAACGUUGCUAAUGAGUGAUAAGACUACAGACAGGCCAGUUCAGCACCCAGACUCCUUCAUGGAGCCAUACUGUUGUAAUGUCUUUUGGCACUGACAUAUGUAAGCAUUGAAAACAAAGCUUUGUCAGAAAGGAAGCAUAUGUUCCUCUAAAACCUGCGUAUUGUUUAGCACUAAUGGAGCCUUUCUAGAUGACUUUCUCAGAUGGUGGUUUUUGGACUGAAAAUAGGCCAAAUGGUCCCUCUCUCUUUAUUAGACCACAGCGUGUAAUGUCAAAGAUCUCCAAAUAGGAUAUCAAACUGUGUUCUGUUGGACCUUAGGGUGGUUUUCUAACUUGUCCCAGUCCUCCUGGAAGUUGAGAUGAGAAGUUUUCAUUUUUGGUUUUCCUUUUUCUUCUUCUACUUUAUCAGCUACAGUAUGUAAAGCCCUCUUUGUGUCAACAAAUAUGAAAACAUGGCUGUUUCUCUCAACCCAUAAAAGGUCGAGAUAUUUGAUUCUAACAAAAGGGAAAUGCUAAUCACAUAUGAUGUUAUACUGCUUUAUAUUUAAUACCAGGUAACAUUUGGAGAGGUGAGAGUUAUCAUCAAAAUCUGACUACUAAAUUUCUAAUGUUAAACCAAUGACAGUGACUGUGCUCUCAUUCUACAUAAACUCACAAACUAACUCAUAACAGAUUUGUGAUUAAAGACUCGACUCAUGGACGAUCUCUGCCUUCAGUAAGUUUAAAGAAAUGAGUCAUUCUUCCGGCAUCAGACGUAAAUCACAGCUCGGGUUUUCAGGCAUCAGCUGGAGGAGAACUCCAUGGGUAUUAACAUUACACAAAAUAUUAGAGUCACAUGAGGUUCGUUUAUAUUGAUGGUCCAGCGUCAGAGCUGGAAUUCCCCGGGCAAAAAAGCAAUAACCUCGACCUUCUUUCACACAAACCCUGAGACUAAACGGUCUUCAUGAAUCAAGUAUGCAUUUUGUCAUGAACAGAAAACGCGAAAGAGAGAUACUUCAUAUAAACUAAUUUAAAACAGCGACAUUAGUCUGACUGGGAUGAAAUCUGAAGCUCAGAAGGAAGUAAACAGGCUUCAUGUGCCAUCCCUUCGCCUUUCCGACAUAUAAUUUCAGAUUCCUUUGUCCAGUUCGUCAUUAUUUGGAACAAAUGACGCCAUUCAUCUCAGGCCCAAAUGUACCCAUUGACAUGGGAGUGAAAGCUUUCCACCAAUUAUACAGGAGUUUAAUGCAGAAUGUGACCCAGCAUGUGAAUAUUUGACCGCUGUGCAUGCUCCUCUUAUCUGCAUCCCUCUCACACUAUCUGCAUCUUUCUGUUUUUCUCUCUCUCUCUCUCUCUUUCUCUGAACUUUUUUUUUUCCUCUCCAUCCGUCGUCAGAUUUCAGGAAUUUCCCCUGGGAGUUAUUCAAGUAUAAAGGCCAAAAGCGAGAGAACUUUUAUGUUUCUGCUUCUCCUCUUUGUGAUUUUUCUGUCUGCAGAAAACAUCUGAAAGCAAAAUCAGAAAUAACUUCAUCCCUUUAACUCAAUUUCAUCCUGAUCCCACAUGAAAAGACAUAGACACCCAUGACUAAAGUGAACACCUGAAGGCUGACUCUUUAACCCCUCCCUCUGAUCAUGACCUUUGACCUCCCUACCGAUCAUGAGACCUUGUCCUGUCAUCCUCUCUCCCUGCUCUCUCUCUCUCUCUCUCCUGCAGGAGCCGCAGGAAACCAGCUCUUGUGACCCAGCAUUCUGUGCAGCCGUGGAGAGGCCCAUUACUGUGGUCACAUGGCAGGUUAGCGAAGGGACGGAUGCGACCAUGUGAGCUCUAUUUUCUAAAAAGAUACAGCUUCCCUGAGGCCCACGAGGGUUUCACACAGAACAUAGAAAAUGUCAGGACGUGCAUGUCUGGGUUAGAACCCGAAUUUAGUCUCCAGACUGAGAAGAAUCAAUCUUAAGAAUAUCACAGGUGUUUCCUUCACAGGUACAGUGAUGGGUGGAAUAUCAACAGACUGAUAAGCAUUAAAAAGAAGCAGAAAGAUGGAGCUUUGAAACAGAUAAAACAUCCAAACAUCCUUUUUUUGAACAGCAUCUUUAUAGAUCAUGGCCUGAAUGUCCAAAAUUAGAUUAGAGAAAAUAAGUAUAAAAGAGUCGGAGGAAGAAAUAAUGAGGUUAUCAUGGACAUAAAAUAAAUACAUUUAUGUGGGGGUACUUUAAAAGGGUUUGGUUUCCCAUUUUCCUGGAAUUGAAGGUUUUGUGUGAUUGAAGUUUUGCAUCUUCCUAUAAUAGUUGAAUAGUUUUGACAACAGCACAAUAAAAAUAUUCAAGAAUACAGAUAUUUUGGGCUCAUUUUCAAAUAAGAAUAAAAAUGCUCUGAAGUGGUUUACUUAGAACACUGUCUUCUAGGAUGAGAAUAAAAUGACCUGCAGGCAAAUGGGGAUGAAAAUGAUGAAAUGAUCCGUCCGACCGCAUGUUAUCAAAAAUUAACAUCUUUACGAUCAGACAAAUUUUAGUUUUUAUGAUAUGUCAGCAGUUUUACACUUUGAACUAAAGUCCCACGGCAGAAUUAAAAAAAAAGCUACACGAUGGCCUAAAAUAAUAAAUGAUCUGUCACUCGGUUUAGAAUAAAAAAAUAAAAAAAAGUAAAUAAAAAAGACGGCUGAUAAAAUCUUUAUCAGCCAAUAGACUGGACAGAGGCGAACUCGGACUCGGACCGAAUAACUCCUUUGACUUGAGACACCUAAAAGAGCAGAGCGAUCAAUAAUAUGUCUUCAUGAUUAUAAUAAUAAAAAAGCCUGUGGGCUUAAAGUGGCAGUCAGAAAGAUGAAAUAUUACAGUCUGUGAUGGAGAAUAAAAGAAAAAGAUAACGAAAGAAAAACACUUCGUUUGCAGGUGGGUACUGGUCGGCCGAAUAUAUAAAUACAUUUAUGCAUUUACUGUCUCGCCGUACAAUUUGGCCUGUGCCACGUUUCAGACAAAUUAAACAUUUCAUUCAAAAUACAAAAAUACAGCAUUAUUAUCUUAAGGCGAAGAAUAUGUUUUGGCCCAAAACUUUCAUGCCAAAUAGUGUGUAAAAUACAACAAUAACGAGUUUUAAAAACGAACUUUGUCCAGAAUAAAACAACUUCGCCAAACUCUAAAAAAGUUUUUGUCCCUCCGAGUCUUCUUAGAAUUACGACAACACGGUCAAAUUAGUUUAAUAACAGUCAGCGAGUGUUUGUUUAUCCCAAAAUGUGGCCUAAAUUACAACUUUUGAAAAAUACCGAGACGAGAAUUAUAAAGUAGAUUUGUCAAAUGUUUGAAUUUAUCUGAAAAAUUACCGCUACGAAAAGCACAAAUUUAUCAUUUCAACAGGUUAUUUCUGCGUAAUGUAAAUUAUACUAAUAAUGGAUCGGAGUCAAUGUGCGCACAUACACUAUUCUGACUUCACAUCGCCGAGGUCAAACACAUUAUUGAUGAAUUACUGACAUUUUCAAGGAGGCUAUAUAAGGUUUAUUAUUGUUGUUGCUUCUAACGAUAUAUUCUCAUAACACAUUAAAACACCUCCUCUGUCUAACAGACGUACUGUACAGCACAUACUCCCCUGGGGGCCAUGCACCCCCCAACUGCCCUAACCAAAUACUGUGCGUAAAACCGCAGCCUCUUCCAACAGCUCUCUGCUCUGCACACAUACACACACACACACGAACACACACACACUUUUUCAACACUUCACCAUAGGAAAAAAAAAGAAAAACAACAACAGCAAAAACUUCCUUAAUCUCAUCCAGCACGAACAUAAGCACUCACUUAAAGCCUCGGAGGCCUCACGCAGGACUCCACUGAUGUUGGAAGGUCAGUGGGGUGCAC
rnacentral:lncRNA from 1 species